rnacentral:rRNA from 1 species
CGAACGCUGGCGGCAGGCCUAACACAYGCAAGUCGGACGGUAGCACAGAGAGCUUGCUCUCGGGUGACGAGUGGCGGACGGGUGAGUAAUGUCUGGGGAUCUGCCCGAUAGAGGGGGAUAACCACUGGAAACGGUGGCUAAUACCGCAUAACGUCGCAAGACCAAAGAGGGGGACCUUCGGGCCUCUCACUAUCGGAUGAACCCAGAUGGGAUUAGCUAGUAGGCGGGGUAAUGGCCCACCUAGGCGACGAUCCCUAGCUGGUCUGAGAGGAUGACCAGCCACACUGGAACUGAGACACGGUCC